GACGAACGCUGGCGGCGUGCCUAAUACAUGCAAGUCGAACGGGGUAAUUUCUUCGGAGAUUACUUAGUGGCGAACGGGUGAGUAACGCGUGAGAAACCUGCCUUUCAGUGGGGGACAACAGUUGGAAACGACUGCUAAUACCGCAUGACACUUUAGUACCGCAUGGUACAGAAGUCAAAGCUUAAUGUGCUGAAAGAUGGUCUCGCGUCCCAUUAGUUAGUUGGUGAGGUAACGGCUCACCAAGACUUCGAUGGGUAGCCGGCCUGAGAGGGUGAACGGCCACACUGGAACUGAGACACGGUCCAG
rnacentral:rRNA from 1 species